AGAGUUUGAUCCUGGCUCAGAUUGAACGCUGGCGGCAGGCCUAACACAUGCAAGUCGAACGGUAACAGGAAACAGCUUGCUGUUUCGCUGACGAGUGGCGGACGGGUGAGUAAUGUCUGGGAAACUGCCUGAUGGAGGGGGAUAACUACUGGAAACGGUAGCUAUACCGCAUAACGUCGCAAGACCAAAGAGGGGGACCCUCGGGCCUCUUGCCAUCGGAUGUGCCCAGAUGGGAUUAGCUUGUUGGUGGGGUAACGGCUCACCAAGGCGACGAUCCCUAGCUGGUCUGAGAGGAUGACCAGCCACACUGGAACUGAGACACGGUCCAGACUCCUACGGGAGGCAGCAGAAGGGCGAAUU
rnacentral:rRNA from 1 species